AUUGAACGCUGGCGGCAGGCUUAACACAUGCAAGUCGAACGAUGACUCUCUAGCUUGCUAGAGAAGAUUAGUGGCGGACGGGUGAGUAACAUUUAGGAAUCUGCCUAGUAGUGGGGGAUAGCUCGGGGAAACUCGAAUUAAUACCGCAUACGACCUACGGGUGAAAGGGGGCGCAAGCUCUUGCUAUUAGAUGAGCCUAAAUCAGAUUAGCUAGUUGGUGGGGUAAAGGCCCACCAAGGCGACGAUCUGUAACUGGUCUGAGAGGAUGAUCAGUCACACCGGAACUGAGACACGGUCCGGACUCCUACGGGAGGCAGCAGUGGGGAAUAUUGGACAAUGGGGGCAACCCUGAUCCAGCCAUGCCGCGUGUGUGAAGAAGGCCUUUUGGUUGUAAAGCACUUUAAGCAGGGAGGAGAGGCUAAUGGUUAAUACCCAUUAGAUUAGACGUUACCUGCAGAAUAAGCACCGGCUAACUCUGUGCCAGCAGCCGCGGUAAUACAGAGGGUGCGAGCGUUAAUCGGAAUUACUGGGCGUAAAGCGAGUGUAGGUGGCUCAUUAAGUCACAUGUGAAAUCCCCGGGCUUAACCUGGGAACUGCAUGUGAUACUGGUGGUGCUAGAAUAUGUGAGAGGGAAGUAGAAUUCCAGGUGUAGCGGUGAAAUGCGUAGAGAUCUGGAGGAAUACCGAUGGCGAAGGCAGCUUCCUGGCAUAAUAUUGACACUGAGAUUCGAAAGCGUGGGUAGCAAACAGGAUUAGAUACCCUGGUAGUCCACGCCGUAAACGAUGUCUACUAGCCGUUGGGGUCCUUGAGACUUUAGUGGCGCAGUUAACGCGAUAAGUAGACCGCCUGGGGAGUACGGCCGCAAGGUUAAAACUCAAAUGAAUUGACGGGGGCCCGCACAAGCGGUGGAGCAUGUGGUUUAAUUCGAUGCAACGCGAAGAACCUUACCUGGUCUUGACAUAGUGAGAAUCUCUCAGAGAUGAGAGAGUGCCUUCGGGAACUCACAUACAGGUGCUGCAUGGCUGUCGUCAGCUCGUGUCGUGAGAUGUUGGGUUAAGUCCCGCAACGAGCGCAACCCUUUUCCUUAUUUGCCAGCGGGUUAAGCCGGGAACUUUAAGGAUACUGCCAGUGACAAACUGGAGGAAGGCGGGGACGACGUCAAGUCAUCAUGGCCCUUACGACCAGGGCUACACACGUGCUACAAUGGUAGGUACAGAGGGUUGCUACACAGCGAUGUGAUGCUAAUCUCAAAAAGCCUAUCGUAGUCCGGAUUGGAGUCUGCAACUCGACUCCAUGAAGUCGGAAUCGCUAGUAAUCGCGGAUCAGAAUGCCGCGGUGAAUACGUUCCCGGGCCU
rnacentral:rRNA from 1 species